rnacentral:rRNA from 1 species
GUAGGUGGCAAGCGUUGUCCGGAAUUAUUGGGCGUAAAGCGCGCGCAGGCGGUUCGUUUAAGUCUGAUGUGAAAGCCCACGGGCUCAACCGUGGAGGGUCAUUGGAAACUGGAGAACUUGAGUACAGAAGAGGAAAGCGGAGUUCCACGUGUAGCGGUGAAAUGCGUAGAGAUGUGGAGGAACACCAGUGGCGAAGGCGGCUUUCUGGUCUGUAACUGACGCUGAGGCGCGAAAGCGUGGGGAGCAAACAGGAUUAGAUACCCUGGUAGUCCACGCCGUAAACGAUGAGUGCUAAGUGUUAGGGGGUUUCCGCCCCUUAGUGCUGCAGCUAACGCAUUAAGCACUCCGCCUGGGGAGUACGGCCGCAAAGGCUG